UUGGAAGAUCACUGAUUCUAUCUUGUUUGCCCCCUUCAACAUCAGCUCUCUUUCUAUCUGUUAGAAGAAUUUAGAAUUUAGUAUCCAAAAAAAAAAAAAGAGAAAAGAUGGAGAGAAUUAUAUUGUAUACCUUGGGUACUCAUGCUGAUUCUUACGGUUAGAACAGAGCAGAAAGUGCCUUUUUCUUCUGCUAUUUGCUUUUCAACUUGCCCUAAUCUGUACAACAAAGAGGCCCAAUUCACCAUCCCCGACAUUAAUCGAACAGCUAAAGAGAAUGUAAAAUAAUAAGAGUGAAAGAGUUAUAGCCUAUUUGCCCACGCUUCUUUUUGGCCAAAAGUGCUUUUUUUGUUGCCAAAUGUACUUUUUUCUAAAGUUAAAGGUGUUUGGCCAAGAUUUAAGAGGGAUAAAAAGUGCUUUUGAGCGGGAGCAGUAGUUUUUGAGAAGCAUAAAAAAUUAGCUUCUCCCCAAAAGCAUUUUUGAGAAAAAUAUACUAAAAAAUACGGUAUAAAAGCUCAACCAAAUACUAAUUACUGCUCAAAAGUAGUAUUUUUCAAAUUAAGUAGUCAAACACAGACUGUUUAUCGCCAAAAGUACAUUUUUGAAAAACGCUCUGAUUUUAUAAGCUUGGCCAAACAGGCUAUUAGUGGGGAAAUGUGGAGAAAUGUGUAUUAUGAAUUCUAAGAGAUUGAGUUCAGUUAGAAUCAUAGUAUUCAGAGCAUCAAGUGUCUUUUUCUUAUGCUAUCUGCCUUUCGAGGGGAGACAGUGUUGAGCAGGGACAGAGCAAGAGAGCUGCGUGCGGGUUCGGCCGAACCCAAUAGCUUUGGUUCAAAUCAUGUAUUUAUUUUAAAAAAUCCAUUGAAUAUGUAUAAAUUAUUAUUUUAGAACCCAGUAACUUAAAACAAUUAAAAUCCCGAACACAUAAGCUUAAAAUUAUGGCUCUGCCUCUAGUGUUGAGUGGCAAUUUAAGUGAAGACGCUAAGUUAUAGCCUCAAUUAGGGGAACCAGAUGCUAAUCUCAUCUUGCCCUAAUAUGUACAGAAAAGACGCCCGAAUGAUACAUUUUUUUUUGAAAAAGAAAAAACGGCUAGUAUUCUACAGGGGAUCAAGCUUCAACUUCGUUCCUUUGACAUUGGAGUAUGUAAAAUAAUCAGAGUUAAAGACUUACUGAGGAAAUGUGGAGAGAUUUGAGUAUGAAAUUUACCAGAGAUUGAUGAUUCCAGGAGGCAAGCAAGCACCGCAGACAACGAAAGCAUAGUUCGGACAAGUUUG
rnacentral:lncRNA from 1 species